UCCAACGUUCUACCUUAUGUUUGUACGUGUGUUAGUACGUGUGUGUGUGCGCUUGCGUAUUACGAAGAUAUUUGGGAAAAGGCGUCAUAGUGUAUUGACGGUGAUGUAUUGUUAACGUGUGUCGUUUAUGUGAGUAUUUUUAUCAUUUUAAUAAAAACAAAUUUUCAAGUAUGCCGAAAACUAAUGCCGAAAAGUGUCAUGAAUAUCGGCAGAAAAAACAAGAAAAAAAGAUUAAGAAGGUCCCAAAAAGUUCAACGGAACGUGUUCCUGAAUUUCAUGCACGCCGAAAAAGGUUAUUAAAUGUGCAAAAUAAUAUUUCUAAUGCGCGUAAUAAUAAUGCUGAAAACUGUAGAAAAUAAUGAAAACGAUCAUCCAAAUUAUUUGCUAGACGGUUCGGAUGGUUUAUUUACUUAUGAAAGAGAGAAUACUUUGUAGUGGGCUCAGGUCCAUAUGCGCCUUCUUUCAAAGGGGGAGUGAAGAUGCUGUAAAAUGUUCAGUGAUGUAUAGCGUAUAUUAAAAGCAUACCAUGAGCCAAAAAUCUGUGUAAUUGAUCAAUUACAUUUGUACUCGCUACAAAUAGAACAAAAGAGAAAUCUAGAUAAAUAGUGCGUCCCAAACAAAACCUAGUUCUCAUUUAUCUAUUUUAAUUUUAUCUCAAGAUGCCGAAAAAAAAUUAUCAAAUCUCAAAGGAGAGUACAGAUCAAAAUAAAGUAACGAAAGUUAAACCACCACAGAAAACUGAAAAGGAACGAGUAAGGAGUAAAAAGCACGAAAGCAUUAAAAGAAAAUACAGCAGCCCAUCUGUGAGAUGAUCAACCCCAAUCUACAAGUAGUUCUGUGAAACGUGAAUUGAGUGUUGUAAAUCAGGAUUCUUCCUAACCUGAUACUAGAGAAUGCUGAUAUAUUAUCAAAUUAUCUCACUCGGCUAAAUAGCCAAGUUAAAUUAAUGCAAAUGUAAGUUGAAGGUACUGAUAAAAUUUUUAUCGUUCAGACUGAUGUACAUCAAUGAAGUUUGUCUCAGCUUCUACAAAAUCUAACCACAAGUUUGUGUUGGCAAAAUAAUAUAGCUUGGAAUUACAUACCAAAGAAAUCAGAUGCAUAGUGAUGUCAAGAGUAUAGACUGCGGCAAAAAGACACUGAUGCUAUGAAAAACUAGCUGAAUCUCUUGUUGCUUUUUCAAGGAUUAAGUUGAAUGCAAUACAACUGGAUCCACGGACAACAUUAACCGAAGUAAUGGAAAUGGAGGCUAAUAUCCAUGAUACUGCAAUUGUUGCAGAACCAUCAACAUCAAAUGUUCGAUCGAUCAAUCAAACUGAUGUAGAUCAAUGAGUACCGUACAGUGCUUAUCACAAAUAUUAUCAAGCUCAUCAGGAGCUUACAACGAGAUUUGUCCGCAAUAAAUUUAGUUAUAUUUGCACCAUUUGUGAUAAAUUAUGGUUUAAAAAAGACUUUAGAGAACCGCUAGAUGCACAUUAUGAAAUUCUACAGACAAUUCUACUAGAUAUAUUUAUUAAGAAUAUUCUGGCUUGCAACACGUACUUUUCUACUCUGAACAAAAAAAAAUUCCAGCGAUGUCUACUUAUAAUAGAUUUAAAUUUCCUCAAAUCCCUAUUCAUUUACUGCUACAAGAUUUUAUUACGGAAAGACUAAUCUCAUCAUGUUGAUGGACAAUAUGGUAUAUAUGGACAAGUCUUCAAUGUACCGGUGUCUGUAAACACAAUGAUUAAAAUGCUUCUGAGAAAUAUCAACGAUGACCACUGCAUAAAUGUGCACAUCAAGCUCAGAAAAAUUCAUUGGACGAACUAUUUAUAUAGUUUUGUCGAUAAACAAAUGAUAAAAGCUUGGCUAGAAAUUUUGGUAUCAUCUCCGUUUUACAAAACAUACAACAUCGACAUUGACAAAACAAUUUUCAAUGAUGAUUAAGUUUUUCCAGAAAUAUCUCUAUUCCUAUUUGGAUCAACACCAAAAAUUCAGAGAAGAGGUCAAAGUAACACUAUUUACGAUAGCAUCAAGUGAGUUGAGGAGAUUGGAUCGACAGGUUGCAACUCUACACCGCUUAUUAUGCGUGGCGAUAAAAAUAAUGCAAUUUCAAGCUUGCUAUUGUCUUACAAUAGCAUUUAACCAUGUGGGAAGAAAGACUAUGAUCACUCUACAGCAAAUUGAAGAUGAUCAAUGUAUCAAUAACUAUAUUUUUGCGUUGCUUAUGUAGCUGAAUAUGUUAAUAAGAUUUACAAAGUAAUGAGCAGUCUUCAACAGCUAAUCAUUCAAACUGUGAACGAGUAUCUGGAAUUCGACAUUAUUGACAUUACACGAGAAAUUGACGUCAACAUGCUUAAUAAUGUAGAAUUGAUUAGUCAGGAGGCAGCUUGGUAUUUGUUACAUGAGCAAAUGUCAAAAUGCUCCACUAUCAUAAUUGGUAUUCCAACAGUAUGGCCUGUUGAACGACAAAGAUUAAAAAAAUCAAAUCAAGAACUAGAAGAGAUGACUAUUAGACAAGAUUCGACAAACAUCUGAAAAGACAAUUGGUUUGACAAGUAUAAGAAAAGACAUGUGGAUUUAGACGGCAUUACUUUAACGCAAUUUAUUGCAAAUAAUACAGUUCAUAGUGGUGGAACCUUUGUUAAGAGAAAAAUACGUCGCAUUCUUCGUUAUAUAAAUUUUGAUAUGGGGCAAGAUUGAAAUGAUUAUAAAUAGAAAUACUCUACAUUUUCAAUUUCGCAAUGAAAAAACAGAAAUAGUAGCUGAAUUAAAAUUUGUCCAAACCUAUGAUGAAAAUGAAGAUUUAAUUUUAAACCAUUGUAAAGAGUUUGAAUCGAGUUUAGAUAUUCAAAAAAACUAUUGAAAUUUGUCAGAAUUUAUGUUGUGAAAAUGAAUCAGAAGGCGAAGCAAAGGCAUAAAAUGUUGCAAAUAAAUGUCCUGAUACCAAUCCAUUUCAAGAGUUGUACAAUAAUCCAAGUUCCAAUAUAAGUGCAGUUAUAACUUUGGCUACAUUAAACAAACUUGAAGCAAUUGCGAAGAGAAGAUUCGUGAAUUAAUGAGAAUGGCGAAUAAAAAACAAAGUGAACUAUUGACAUACGUAAUAUCACAUCUACUAUCAUUGAAUGGCUCUCUUCAAAUGAAUGCGAUAAAAUAUUGGUCAUUAAAUUAAUAAUGGAUAUCUACAAUCGCUUCGCCAACAGCGAUGCAAUUUGUAAUGCACUUUAACUGAAAAAGUUGCAGUGGCAAUUGAUGGUACAACUUUACAUACAAUUCUUAAAAUAUCACUGUCCAAGUUACUCCCUUUGAGCAUUGAAGUUGGUUAUCAAUGUCAUACUUUAUUCAAAUAUGUCAAAAUUUUAAUCAUCAAUGAAAGGAUGGGCAUGGUUUUGACAGGAGAUUUUCUACAACUUCCACCAGUCAGAGCUAUUCCUAUCUACAAGCGAGUUAAACAGAGUAUGGUUAAACCACUUUUACGGCAAUGAUUCAAAUUUUAUCAACUGAAUCGAAUGAUGAGGCAAGCGAAGCAAAAAUUUGCAACAAUACUAAAUGAAAUUGACAAUGUCCAACUCCUUUAUCAAAGUGAGUUAAAAUUGAUUUAAGCACGAUUUUUUUACAGUUCAUGAUAAUUUAGUAAUGAUUUCACGGCAGUGAAUGUCUUUCAUUUAUCUUGAUUUAAAAAAUGGACUUGGAUUUAAUCAAAACACGCAUAGGUGGUUUGAUUUCGUUCUUUUCAGUAACUCAUAGGAUGUGCAAUUUUAUUUAGCUUUUUUUUGUGCUCACAAGGAGACAUUACAGUUUAAUACAAACGGAUUUUUACGAGCUUUGGUAUAUCAGUAGUAUACUUUUAAGGUGUUCUCACGGUAAAAUAUUUCGGUGAACUGGCUAGCCAAUUUUGAGAAAAAAGCUGUUAAAGUUUGCUUUUUUUUUAUAUAUACGUACUUAUAUACUUGUAAAUUUAAGUAUUUGUGUUUUAAGUAGUAGCGUUCUCUUCUGUCGCACCAAUGGGGAUAGUCAUCGAUUCUUCGUGGGGGAAUAUUUUUUUAUAUAAGUUUUUUCUGUCUAUAAGUUUAAAAAUUUCUUUUUACAUUUAUUAAUUUUUAAUUAUAUACAGGAAAAAGAAUGAAAAUUGUCACAAAAAAUUUGUCAUUUUUCUUCUAGUUCAUAGUCGCCUAAUAAUACACUAUCUUCAGAUUUUUUUAACGGUUUUCUACGCAUUUAUUUUAUUUCGUUCAUUAGUUUUUUCUCACAACUUGUCGCCUGCACGUUAACAUGCCAGUUUAUUACCGGAUUUUGCAGCGAUUAAACUAUCUCAUAUCGUUCAAUAAUAUAUUACAUAUAAUAUCCUUAUAUUUUGAAAUUAAAAUGUCUGUUACUAAAAA
rnacentral:lncRNA from 1 species